AUAAGUCCUCUAAUCUGAGUGA
rnacentral:snRNA from 1 species